GAUCCUGAUCCUGAUCCCGAUCCCCCUUCUGUUUGACCCCUCAAGAUCUUUUUGUUUUGGUUCUUUAGUUUCUGUUUGGAAUAGACCUCCUGUAACCCCACCUCCGGCUCUGUCUGGGUCCUCCCUCCUUCAUAUUUGUGACAGAUAUCAGCCUUGCUGAGUGUCAGGAACAGGACCAGGAACAGAUUCCAUCUUCAGCGACUGUUUGGCACAGCUGUGGAGGUGAAAAAUGGCACCAUGCUACCCUGAUUCACCUGGCCAGCCAACCUUUGCAGUCAGAGGAAAUUAAUCAACACCCUUUGGGUUCCUGAAUUCAACCAUGCCGUGGCAUAAAUGCCGUGAUUAUUCUAUAUAUUAUACCAUAGCAGGCUGUAUAAUUUGUGAAAUUAAUAUAAUCAUUGGUUAAAAUCCAGAAAGCAGUGCGGGCAUAGCAGUUUUGUCACAGCUGGCCCUGAUUUACUGAUCCGGUAAUUUGGUCUGGUCUGGUCUGUGAUGGUGGCAAUUAGAGCCCAACCUUAUUUAAGCAGAGCAGUGAAUAAUUCUCACGGCUCGGUCAUCAUCACUGCUCUUAACACAUAGGGCUCAGCUGGCUCUCAGUCAAAGGUCAGUUUUCUGGGGCUAGAUGGAGUAAGUCUGUUUCCUCUGUACCUGUCAGUAGCCAGCAGGUACUGACUUGGUGAUUUGGGGGGUUGGGGGUCAUCAUUCUUCUUGACUGAUAUCUUGUUUUCGGUUUCUGGUUAGCUGGUUUGUGGUUUUGGGAUUCAUGGUCCCAAGUGGCUAGCAUUCCAUAGCUGAUGUGCUGUGCCACUGGUGUCCUGUCUUAGGGGUUUCCUACCCGUGUGUCCUGGAUGUUUCUUUUAGGCUCCCUGGUUCAUGGUCUGGGUUCUUCAGUCCUCUGCAUCCCAGACCUGUCCAUCCAGUCAGCAGCCCAUGUCCUCCUGGUUCCCUGUUUCCAGCAGUAUUGGGACUGUUGGUCUCAGGGGGCAGGAGACCUGACAUGAUGCAUUGAUGGCCCAAGUCAAUGUGUUUUGUUGCAGACUUAAUCUAGGAAGGCCAAUAAAAGGUUUUAAUUAGUAAGCACUGAGUCUGAGUAAAGCUGGCUAAUAUGUUAAUAGGAAACAUGUACUGUACCUGCAUUUGUCCAUUAUCUUGUAAUAACAUUUUUUAUACCUGUUCUGUAUGUAGUUUGGAUAUCAUACCUUAAAAUAAUAGUAAAUAAGUAUUACUGCUA